rnacentral:rRNA from 1 species
AUGAACGCUGGCGGCGUGCCUAAUACCUGCAAGUCGCGCGAACGGACGAGAAGCUUGCUUCUCUGAUGUUAGCGGCGGACGGGUGAGUAACACGUGGAUAACCUACCUAUAAGACUGGGAUAACUUCGGGAAACCGGAGCUAAUACCGGAUAAUAUUUUGAACCGCAUGGUUCAAAAGUGAAAGACGGUCUUGCUGUCACUUAUAGAUGGAUCCGCGCUGCAUUAGCUAGUUGGUAAGGUAACGGCUUACCAAGGCAACGAUGCAUAGUCGACCUGAGAGGGUGAUCGGCCACACUGGAACUGAGACACGGUCCAGACUCCUACGGGAGGCAGCAGUAGGGAAUCUUCCGCAAUGGGCGAAAGCCUGACGGAGCAACGCCGCGUGAGUGAUGAAGGUCUUCGGAUCGUAAAACUCUGUUAUUAGGGAAGAACAUAUGUGUAAGUAACUGUGCACAUCUUGACGGUACCUAAUCAGAAAGCCACGGCUAACUACGUG